rnacentral:lncRNA from 1 species
AGAAAAAAAAAAGUAGGUGAGCAGAAGUUGAAUGUAAACGAUGACAAAGUUUUGGCCCAGUGUCCGCCCACGAGCCCUGUUCUCUUACCCUUUUUUAUAGAUAAGGUUGUCAUAACCAUCGGAUGUGGUCCCGUAUUUUAUAGCACUAAAUCAUCGGGCCAUAGUCACGUAGUGAAUCGUUAAUUCUCACUAAUUGCAUCAUUAUAUACGGCCGGUAACC